UACCAGCACCCCGAGUGGUCGGGACGAUUAUUGGGCCUAAAGCAUCCGUAGCCGGUUUUACAAGUCCUCCGUUAAAUCCAGCUGCCUAACAGAUGGGCUGCGGAGGAUACUAUAAGACUAGGAGGCAGGAGAGGCAAGCGGUACUCAGUGGGUAGGGGUAAAAUCCGUUGAUCCAUUGAAGACCACCAGUGGCGAAGGCGGCUUGCCAGAAUGCGCUCGACGGUGAGGGAUGAAAGCUGGGGGAGCAAACCGG
rnacentral:rRNA from 1 species